CUGAAGAUCAAAUGAAGAUGAAGUAAAAGUACUCUAACAAGGAUGGAAGUGGUCCUUUCUACUAACCUACAAAACACAUAUAUGGUUAAGUAAUCGUAAACAACUUUGUGGCAUCUAACCAUGAUUUUUA
rfam:Pteropus alecto contig108757, whole genome shotgun sequence.